GGCGCACCAGUAAAAGAUCUAUUAAAGUUUUAUUGUUCAGUGAUUCGAUCGGUUUUGGAAUACGGUGACAUAUUAUGGCAUGGAGGCCUAACGUUAUCACAAAGUCAAGAUAUUGAAAGAAUCCAAAAACGUGCUCUAAGGAUUAUCACUCCUGACCUAAGUUAUGAAGAUGCUCUUGCUUCGUCUAAACUACUUCCACUUAUUCA